UGGCUCAGUGGUAGAGCGCUUGCCUUGCAUGCACGAGGCCCUGGGUUCGAUUCCUCAG
rfam:Dipodomys ordii contig_72684, whole genome shotgun sequence.